rnacentral:lncRNA from 1 species
CUCGGGCCCUCAGAGUCCCGAACGCGAGUGAGAGCAGAUCUGAGAAAAUGAGAGAUGUGAAACACAGAGAAGGUCUGGAAACCCUAACAAUGCCAUUGUCUCUGUGAUCGGAGCCUUCGCUGUAGAUCAGAGACAUGAGCGUGAAGAAAGAGAGAGACGACGGGGCAUGAAGAAAAGCUCCUCCAAUGCGAUUCUUGUUUUGCGAGGUUUAACGCCUCGAUGGCCGCCAUUGAUCCACGAUCGGAUCUGUUCAAGAGCUCACUGUUGAAAUCGCGUAGUAAUUAACACCAAGACCAGAGAUCUGAUGGGGCUAGGUAUGGGGGUUCCAGGACCCGUCAAAGUUGAUUUUGAAAUUUAGGGUUUACUUAGGUUUAUGGCUUACGGAGAUCAUUGUUUUUUAUUUGAUGGAGCGACAUGCCUAGGGAAUUAAUUAGUAGGUCGGUCUUUAAUUCAAUGCAUUAAUGCGUUCGCUGUUUGCUUCCAUUCCAGGUACAUUCCAUGUCAGCUUGCUCAAGAUGCGAAAGAGUGCGAUGUGGAUUGAUAGGCACUGACAGUGGGCCUUCCUUUAUCUUUAAGGUUUUACUCCUUUCUCAUUCAAGCAUGUGGAUGUAUGUUUUUCUUUUGUAAGAUAUCAUUUUUUUGUUUUUAAAUGGAAACAAAAUGAACAAAAUAAGUUUCCAGAGGUAAAUAGCAUAGUAUUGUUGAAAACUUGAACGAUAUAUCUGACAAAAAACAAAAUUGGCACACAUUAUGGGAGCGCUUUGAAAUAGCAUAUUUUUGUUGAAUGAUAUAUUCUGAUAUGAGGGAGUGGGGUUUGGUACCUUACAUAUGGAAUCGGGAACAUUGUGACAUUACAUUAGUGAUACACGGUGGCGUAGUGAAUUUAAAAGUAAGCAUUUGUAGCAAUAUCGGAUGGUCUAAUAACCAUGCAUAACUAGACUGUUCAACAACUUGAUGUUCCGACAAAAAGAGAUCAGAUGAUGGGGUUUCUCUAACUUUCAAUGUAACAUGAGGUUAAAGACAUUAGAAAGUGAAAAAUCAUAAAUGGGUUAGUGCAUUAUUCAAAUAUUGUCGUACACAAUGUUCUAGGCAAUGUCAGUAAUCUGAGUGUUUUAAUUAGACCCUCCCCUUCUCAACUUUUCAAGUUAGGAUGAGAUUGCAAGGAGUCUCAGAAGUUCUCAGUAUUUUCUUUUGCAUCUAUGCACCCAAGCAAUGUUUAUAGGUUAUUACCAUGGAAAUAAAAUUUGAAGCAGUAAAUUUCAUAGAACUAAAAUUUAUCUGCCCACAUUGUCAAAUAUAUAUCGAUGAUAGAUUGGCAGUUAUAAAUUUAGAA